rnacentral:snoRNA from 1 species
CUUCACUGCACUGACAUGGGGGCUGCCGCCUGUGGCUGUCUCCCUUCCUAGGCAUGGAAGAGCAGCUCCUUGCUGAUUGGCAUAACUUUUACCGUCUUGUGGGUAUUAGUCGUUGACUGUAGCAAGUAACAGGC